GACGAACGCUGGCGGCGUGCCUAAUACAUGCAAGUCGAACGCUUUUUCUUUCACCGGAGCUUGCUCCACCGAAAGAAAAGGAGUGGCGAACGGGUGAGUAACACGUGGGUAACCUGCCCAUCAGAAGGGGAUAACACUUGGAAACAGGUGCUAAUACCGUAUAACAGUAGAAACCGCAUGGUUUCUAUUUGAAAGGCGCUUUUGCGUCACUGAUGGAUGGACCCGCGGUGCAUUAGCUAGUUGGUGAGGUAACGGCUCACCAAGGCAACGAUGCAUAGCCGACCUGAGAGGGUGAUCGGCCACAUUGGGACUGAGACACGGCCCAAACUCCUACGGGAGGCAGCAGUAGGGAAUCUUCGGCAAUGGACGAAAGUCUGACCGAGCAACGCCGCGUGAGUGAAGAAGGUUUUCGGAUCGUAAAACUCUGUUGUUAGAGAAGAACAAGGAUGAGAGUAAAACGUUCAUCCCUUGACGGUAUCUAACCAGAAAGCCACGGCUAACUACGUGCCAGCAGCCGCGGUAAUACGUAGGUGGCAAGCGUUGUCCGGAUUUAUUGGGCGUAAAGCGAGCGCAGGCGGUUUCUUAAGUCUGAUGUGAAAGCCCCCGGCUCAACCGGGGAGGGUCAUUGGAAACUGGGAAACUUGAGUGCAGAAGAGGAGAGUGGAAUUCCAUGUGUAGCGGUGAAAUGCGUAGAUAUAUGGAGGAACACCAGUGGCGAAGGCGGCUCUCUGGUCUGUAACUGACGCUGAGUCUCGAAAGCGUGGGGAGCAAACAGGAU
rnacentral:rRNA from 1 species